CCUCCCCCUCCUCGACCCCCUCGUGUCGUCGCAACCCUAGCCGCCAGCGACGGCCACAUUCCCCGCCGCCUCCACACGCCCAGCCAUGACUCGCCCUCCCAUCGUGAACAUCGUCGUCUGCCGAUAGUCGCCGUCGUCCACCGCCGACCAUUUCCUCUGCCGCGUCUCCCCGUCCUCUGCCGUGACGGGCCCUGGUCCGCCGCCGUCGACGAGCACCACGUCCGACGUGCUCGUGACCUCGUUCCCCGACUUCCCGAGAACUUUGUCCAUUUACCAAAGAUCAUGGCAAAGCAAAAGAAGAAGCCUGCUCCCAAGGAUCCUGCACAGUUUCAGAAGCAGCUGAAAAUGAAGCUAUCUAAUGAAUGCAGAAAAUAUGAAAUUUAUCUGAACCGUCAGGAUAUGGAUGAUCUCAAGAAAAUAGCAGAUAAACUGGACGAGGGAUAUUUCUGUUCGGAAGCAGAUAAAACAGUGGAAUUGGAAUUCUAUUCACAAGUUGAGCAGGAUAUUCGGAAGACCAUGAGGAAAGUUUAUGCACGUUCAUCGAAUUGGUCUAAGACUGAAAAGUUAGUUAAGGAGCUUGAUGCUACACUGAAAAUACUUACCGGGGAUGAGCAGAAGAGCCUUUAUGUAGCUGACACGAAGAAACAGCAACAAUUUGUACUUGCACGUAGCUGGCUGGAGAGCAUGCAGCAGAAGCAAAGCAGUUGUAAAAGAUGUGAAGAUCCUGAGCCAGAAUGUGAUGAAGAAACGCAGUAUUGGAUUAAUACUCUCAAUACUGGAAUUAUCCUUGACAAAACAUUAGUAGAACUUGAAGUUGAGAGGUCUACGUUGGAUUUAUUUAAAGAUACAGACAUUGAGCAAGUUUUCUUCAAUCCUCGAGAAGAUUCAUGCCAUCUACUUCCUUUUAAGACAGCCCCUCAUCAACCACCAAAGUGGAUGUUGGUUGAACUGAGAGAUCAAAGUGCAAAAUGUGGUGUCUACAUGAGAGGCGAUAAUCUGUAUAUCACUGCUUUUCGCAACCAAAAGAAUAUGAUAUAUGAGCUCGUAGAGUCUGAUAAUUUGCGAAUAAUUGAAGGUUCCUUUGUAUUUGGUUGCAAUGCUGAUUACCCUGCACUUGUAAAAUAUGAUAGAGAAGUUGAGGAUCUUCCAAAAGAAGAAGCUGAUAGGCGAUUACUGGAAAUUAUCUUCAAUCUGGAGGAAAAUGCAGCUGAUGUUCAUCUGUUGGCUAAUUAUGACCACACACAAAAGAUGGAUGAUGCUGAGCGACGUCAAGCCAUUGAAAAUGUGCAGAAGGCGCUAAUUCGGAAAAUGGUGGUUUUAUCUGAGGUCUCACGUUUUGUGAACCUUUUUAUAGCUGUGAAUGCAGAUUGGAAUAACAGCAUUGCAUCUCUGACAAAAUUGCUGUUAACAUUUAUGAGGCGAUGGGGUCCAAUGUCGAAGAAAGUCCGUAACAGUAACAGCUCUGAUGUGCUUCCUAAAAGCUUGCAGGAUAAUCUUGGCUUGAAAUUUGUGUCUGACCUAAUCAAGGUUAUGCAUCUUGUGCUUAAUACAAAGCAUCCUGAACUUAAUAAAAUAGGACGCAGUACACCUGCUGAACCUUCUGGUGGCAUCCCUGAAGCGUCUGGAUCAUCUUAUGGUGAUUGCAAAGAAGCUAAGAGCAAAGCUCGACCAUCUAAUGGCAACCCUGAUCCAUCUGGAUCUUCUGAUAGCAGCCUUGGGCAAUCUUGUGGCAGCCAUGCACCAUCCAGGCCAUCUGAUUGCGGCCUUGGACAAUCUUGGCUAUCUGACAGCAGCCCCGGACCAUCCGAUGGCAGUCCUGGACAACCUAGACUGUCUGAUGGCAGCCAUGCAGAUGGUAGCCCUGAACAAACUGGAGCAUCUGGCAUCUGCCCUGUACAAUCUGGUCUGUAUGUCUUCGCUGAUCCAUCUGGUCUGUAUGUCUUCCCUGAUCCAUCUGGAUCUUCUGAUAGCAGCCUUGGGCAAUUUGGUGGCAGCCAUGCAUCAUCCAGGCCAUCUGGUUGCAGCCUUCGACAAUCUUGGCUAUCUGACGUCAGCCCCGGACCAUCUGAUGGCAGUCCUGGACAACCUAGACCGUCUGAUGGCAGCCAUGCAGAUGGUAGCCCUGAACAAACUGGAGCAUCUGGCAUCUGCCCUGUACAAUCUGGUCUGUAUGUCUUCCCUGAACAAUCUGGGCUAUCUGCCGUCAGCUAUAUAUCAAGUGUGAUUAGCAGCGCAAUUGAAUCUCUCAGGAUGGCGAUCCUAUUUGCACGAUCUGGCAGCAUCCAUCCUUUGAGUCAUCAUCCACUUGGACCUGUGCGCAUACAUGCUCCUUUGGUUCCUCUACUUAGACCAUCUGAUGGUAGCCCUGAACAAACUGGAAAAUCUGGCAUCUGCCCUGUACAAUCUGGUCAUCCUUUGAGUCAUCAUCUACUUGGACCUGUGCGCGUACAUUCUCCUUUCGGUUCCUCCACUUAGACCUUGCAGAUAUGGUCCUUUGCGUCCUCCACUUGGACCUGGGCGCAUGUAUGUACAUGGGCCUCACUUGUGUGCUGGUUUAUGUGAAAUCCCAGAACUUCUCAGAGAGAGUGCAAGUGGCAGGGUGAUUGAUCGGUGUAGGCUUUUGAUCAGCAGCAACCCUAUUCCCCUAGAAUCAGUUGGGGCGUCUGUAUCAACUUUGAGCGGCCAGCCACUCCUGGAAAUAUUGGCGCUCCACACCAAUUUAUGCAAGAUCAAUAGCAUUGGAAUUUAUGAUGAUCGAGGUGGUGUUUAUAUCUACAAAUACAAGAACGGGGAGAAGGAACGGUUUAUUGACAAAAGGGAUCUUUGGCUGUCUAAGCAUACAGAGGGAGGACCUUAUGAUCUCGUGUACAAACUUGUUCCCAUUGGCCCGAGCCGUGCCAUGACGGCUAAUGCAGAGUGCUGGCUACUUGAGGCUGAUGUGCCGAUAGAGUCUUCUUUGCUGCCUAAAACCUGUGCAACAAAGGAAAUGGCAGGUGGAGUGUUCAAAAUGAUAUUAGAUCAUAACGAGGAAACAGUUGAUGAAGCUAAGACCGGUAUCAUCUUAGCCAGGGGAGGAUUUAUACAUAUUAGCUACGUGGUAUUCAGAAAUGCAGUGAGAGCUUCAGUCAGAUUCCUAGUGCAUGAUUAUCACUUGUUUCGUCCUUAUUAUGUGAAUGGCGAGCUGGCUUUACAUGUGGGAGACCUUCCUAUUGGGUUAACUAUUUUCUCAAGUCAAAUUGAGGAUGGUAACUGUUUCACGCCAUGUGAUGCUGCUGGACAGGAUUUCAUGCUUCCUUUAACUCGGAGAGUUAUUGCUUUACCUGUUGAUUCGCCUGUCCGCCUCAAGGGAACUUUGGAGAUUGGAGGUAAAUCCAUGGCUGUAGACCAGUCUCUUGUUCUCAAAAGUGGUAGCACCCAGGUUAAGUGGUUGAUGCAUGCGUCUCUUGAUGCUACCAUAUGUAUCACAGCAACUUCUGCGUUCUAGUCCGCAGUGCCCAGCAGGGAGUUAUUUAAACCACUGAUCAUGUAGCUUCUACUGAGAUCACAGAGCACGAAAAUUCAGAAUGCAUUAACAAUAUAACUUGAAAGGCAUGCCGUAACACAUUGACUCUUCAUAUGGAUGUGCUCUGUUGGUUUUUUUCCAAUAACACUGAGAUGGGUCAGCUUUGAGCUUUUGGCACAACUUCAACAAUGGUAUUAGCUGAGAUGCAGAAGCGACUUGACUACUGUAGGUUCUUCCAUGUUCUCAGUUUGGCGCAAAGCGUGCACCGGUGGACUUGUAGUUAGCAAUCGCUUAUUUUGUUAACUCACGCCUAUUAUGUACUCCCUCCGUCCCAUAAUAUAAGACCUUACAUUUUGGGACAAAGGGAGUAAUUUCUGUAACAAUUGGCCAGAAAAGCAUGCACAAAGAUGUACUCCCUCCGGUUCGAAAUACUCGUCGCGCUGGUCAAUUU
rnacentral:rRNA from 1 species